UACGUAGGGUGCGAGCGUUAAUCGGAAUUACUGGGCGUAAAGCGUGCGCAGGCGGUUUUGUAAGCCAGGUGUGAAAUCCCCGGGCUCAACCUGGGAAUGGCAUUUGGGACUGCAAGGCUGGAGUGCGGCAGAGGAGACUGGAAUUCCUGGUGUAGCAGUGAAAUGCGUAGAUAUCAAGUGGAACACCAGUGGCGAAGGCGAGUCUCUGGACAUUUCCUGACGCUGAGGCACGAAAGCCAGGGGAGCAAACGGG
rnacentral:rRNA from 1 species